CUUAGAGUGACAUUGGAUGCCUGUUUUGAGAAAUGUGAGGAUGUAUGUACAGAAAAUCUUCCCUAUAUUCAAUGCACGUUUUACAGGUUUCUUUUGAGAUGCAUAUUUAGCCUUUUGUUUUCUUUAGCUGCUAGGUCAAUUGAAAUACAUAUAGGGUUUCCUUG